rnacentral:rRNA from 1 species
AUUGAACGCUGGCGGCAGGCCUAACACAUGCAAGUCGAACGAGUGGCGGACGGGUGAGUAAUGUAUGGGAAUCUCACUAACGGAGCGGGCUCACUGCGGAAAAAUUUAGCUAAAAGCGCUUAACAUAGGCUGAGCCCAUGUGGGAUUAGGUAGUUGGUGAGGUAAAGGCGAACCAAGGCGAAGAUCUCCAGCUGGUCUGCUAGGCGGACCAGCCACACUGGGACUUAGACACGGCCCAGACGCCUACGGGAGGCAGCAGUGGGGAAUAUUGCGCAAAGGGUGCAAGCCUGACGCAGCCAUGACGCGUGAAUGAAGAAGGUCUUCGGGUUGUAAAACUCUGUCGGUAGAGAAGCGGUAUCUAAACAGUAAGCACCGGCUAACUCCGUGCCAGCAGCCGCGGUAAUUC